rnacentral:rRNA from 1 species
UACGGAAGGCAGCAGUGGGGAAUAUUGCACAAUGGACGAAAGCCUGAUGCAGCUAUGCCGCGUGUAUGAAGAAGGCCUUAGGGUUGUAAAGUACUUUCAUCGGGGAGGAAAAACAAAACUAAUAAUUUUAUUUCUUGACGUUACCCGAAAAAGAAGCACCGGCUAACUCCGUGCCAGCAGCCGCGGUAAUACGGAGGGUGCUAGCGUUAAUCAGAAUUACUGGGCGUAAAGAGCACGUAGGUGGUUUUUUUAAGUCAGAUGUGAAAUCCCUGGGCUUAACCUGGAACUGCAUUUUGAAACUGAAAUACUAGAGUAUCGUAGAGGGAGGUAGAAUUCUAGGUGUAGCGGUGAAAUGCGUAGAUAUCUGGAGGAAUACCUGUGGCGAAAGCGGCCUCCUAAACGAAUACUGACACUGAGGUGCGAAAGCGUGGGGAGCAAACAGGGAUUAGAUACC